ensembl:lncRNA
GUUAUAAUGAUGGGUGUGUUAUAAUGAUGGGCAUGUUAUAAUGAUGGGUGUGUUAUAAUGAUGGGUGUGUUAUAAUGAUGGGUGUGUUAUAAUGAUGGGUGUGUUAUAAUGAUGGGUGUGUUAUAAUGAUGGGUGUGUUAUAAUGAUGCGUAUGUUAUAAUGAUGGGUGUGUUAUAAUGAUGGGUGUGUUAUAAUGAUGGGUAUGUUAUAAUGAUGGGUAUGUUAUAAUGAUGGGUAUGUUAUAAUGAUGGGUAUGUUAUAAUGAUGGGUAUGUUAUAAUGGUUGGUAUGUGUUGGGUGUGUUAUAAUGAUGGGUGUGUUAUAAUGAUGGGUGUGUUAUAAUGAUGGGUGUGUUAUA